UUUAACAAAAAGAGUGUCCCCAUCUAACUAUAUACAUUACUACCGCAUUGGCAUCAUAGAGUUAACAAUAACUGAGCCUUCUUUCCUGGUCAUAUUCAGCAGUAGUUGAGUCAUGUUUUAGACCAUGGUUAGACCCUAAGCUAAUGUAAGAUUGGUAAGCCUCCAAGUGCAAAGUUUGCAUGGUAACUCACCGACGUUACUUACAGGAAAGCUGGAAAUGUACACGACAUUUUUUUUUUUAUAUAGUUUAAUUGGACACAUUUAAAAUGUUGGUUAUUGGUGGGAUGCACUUGAAUCGAGCUGAUUUUAAGAAGCCUCUUGUCUUUCUUUCUUUCUUUUUAUUUAUCUAAAAUUCUGUGUAGUGAUGCUUUCAAGAGACUAGUAAAAGCACCAAUAAGAAUCUGUGGUGAUCGACAGAUCGAAAGAAUUCAUUCGUCUCCGACAGUUAAGUUCUUUAAAAAAAAAAAAAAAAUCUGCUCUGUAUUUGAUUUUCCUGAUCUGUUAUUUCAUCUGCUUGUUUUGCUUUGAUCCAUCUCGUUUCAUCUAGAAAAAAUAGAUUUUUUCCAUUGUUUUGAUGGAUUCAUGUGAAUUUCACUUCGGUUAAUUUUCACCAUACAACUUGUUUUUGUAUGUUAUGUAACAAGGAACAGAAGGUUUGAGAGAAUGUUAGCCUCGCAUGACGUGUCUGACUCCCACCAUCAGAAGCAAUCUUCCUUGGUUAUGGUUUCUCAAAGGCAUCAGUCCUGUGGCGAUAUUGAAGAAUGUAGCUCAAGUGACAAGAUAUUCUGACCAAAACCAGCAGCAAUCUUCUAAGAUACAGCAACACUCCUCAAUAUAAAAUGCAUCAAUAAGAAGACAGGAGAGUAGUACAUGGAAGGGCCCAAGGUUGAAAAGUAGAAGGAGAUGCUGAUGAAGAAAACUCAAGAUCAGGGCGCCCAGUUUAUUUCUUAUGACCCAGUCAAAGGGGAGUGGAAGUUCAAGGUUGAUCACUUCAGCCGGUAUGAAUUCUGCAAGAUUGAGGAUUCAUGUGCAUGCUUCUUUUCAAAUUGCAACUUAUGUUUGUGUAGCAUUUCAGAUUGCAAGAAAUAAGACCGUUUUUGCA